rnacentral:rRNA from 1 species
GAUGUGGAUUAAUUCGAUGCAACGCGAAAAACCUUACCUACCCUUGACAUGUCUGGAAUCUUGGUGAGAGCCGAGGGUGCCUUCGGGAGCCAGAACACAGGUGCUGCAUGGCUGUCGUCAGCUCGUGUCGUGAGAUGUUGGGUUAAGUCCCGCAACGAGCGCAACCCUUGUCACUAGUUGCCAUCAUUUGGUUGGGCACUCUAGUGAGACUGCCGGUGACAAACCGGAGGAAGGUGGGGAUGACGUCAAGUCCUCAUGGCCCUUAUGGGUAGGGCUUCACACGUCAUACAAUGGUCGGUACAGAGGGUUGCCAAGCCGCGAGGUGGAGCCAAUCCCUUAAAGCCGAUCGUAGUCCGGAUCGUAGUCUGCAACUCGAGAGCAUGAAGUCGGAAUCGCUAGUAAUCGCAGGUCAGCAUACUGCGGUGAAUACGUUCCCGGGUCUU